GGGCGGAGAGCCUCCAUUCAACCGCUGCCAGUGACGAUCCAGGCGCCCUCCCACGCGCGGAUUGCGGAACCAGUGAGGCUGAGAUGGAGGGCCGGCACAGGGACGGACUAGAGUUAUUACCAAACCUCAAACGCCUGGGGCCAACUUGAGACCAGCUGCAAAUAUUUUCUUCAUAUAGCCUAUUGUAAAAACUUUCAACACCACAAUGGUUGAAUAAGUUAAAAAGAAAGCUCCCUUUCAAACAAUCCAAGUUCCCUGUGUGCUUGAAGCCAGAGGCCCUGACCAUGGAAGCAAAGGUGGGUAUGAAUGAAGUAAGUAGGAAAAAGCAAGGACAAAGCCAGAAGCAAGUCUGUCUUGCUAGUCUCCAGUCCUGAUGAUGCAGGUGACCUGAAGGGCAAGGUGAUUCUCUUCACCAGAAAGCUGAACCACACCUGGCCAAAAUCAGAGAAGCUGAAGGAGAAGUUUUGCCAAAAUAAGUGGAAAUGUAUGAUCUGAAACUACACAUGAAUCUCAACAGAGUAUCUUCUGUGUUCAAAAUGCAAUGAAAGUAGAAAUCAACAAUAGAAAAGGAACUAAAAGAGCAAUACAUGUGAAAACUGAAUUGCAAGCUUUUAAUAUCUUACUAUUUAAAAAAGUCUUGAUGGGAAUUAGAAAAUAUUUAUAAAAUUAUGGAUUAUAAAAGAAAAGUUAAAAAUUACAUAAAAACAAAUAAAUGUACCUUCUCUACUCAGUGGUAUAGACUAUGUUUGUUGAUUGUGUUGUUCCAAAUUUCCCCAUACAAAUAUUAGAUAAAUUUCUCUACCGAAUAUUUAAUUCAAAAUCACACAGAAAAAAUGUGACAUGUAAUUCCAAGUUAGUUAAAUUGACACAGUAGAAAGGUAUUAAUUCUUUAUUGAUUUCUGUGACUUUUUUUUCACUCAAAAACAACUUUCUAACUUGUUUUGUGUAGGUAUAUAGCCUUACCUUUCAUUGCUGUAUUGUGGUCCACUAUGUGAAAAUCUCUAUCUGUUCUACUAUAUGUGGGUAUCUCAGUUGUUUCCAGUUUUUGCUUUUAUAAAGGAUGUUAUUGUGGAUAUUCUUAUAUAUUUCUCCUAAUGUAAAUUGUACAACCAUUUCUCCAUGGUUUAUAAAUAGGAGACUUAUCACCUAAUUUUAUAAAAUAAUGCUAACCUGUCUUCCAGAAAUAUUUACCAAGUUUAUAUUUCUACUAAUGCCGUAUUAAAGUUUUAAUUGAACUACAUGCUUAUUAAUACUUAGCAUUAUCAUACUGCUCAAUAUUGUCUAGUCUGAUGAAAGCAGAAAGAUAUAUCUUUGUGAUACAUACUUGCAUAUUUAUCUGAUUGUUAAUAAAAUUAAGUAUUUUUAA